rnacentral:rRNA from 1 species
UACGUAGGGGCCUAGCGUUGUCCGGAUUUAUUGGGCGUAAAGAGCUCGUAGGCGGUUCGGUAAGUCAGGUGUGAAAUCUCCACGCUCAACGUGGAGGCGCCACCUGAAACUGCCGUGACUCGAGUCCGGUAGGGGAGUGUGGAAUUCCCGGUGUAGCGGUGAAAUGCGUAGAGAUCGGGAGGAACACCAGUGGCGAAGGCGGCUACCUGGACCAGCUACUGACACUGAGGCACGAAAGCGUGGGGAGCAAACAGG